rnacentral:tRNA from 1 species
GGUGGUUCAGUGGUAGAGCACUUGCCUUGCAUGCAUGAGGUCCUGGGUUCGAUUCCUCAGCACCA